UAGCGUUGUUCGGAAUUACUGGGCGUAAAGCGCACGUAGGCUGCUUUGUAAGGUAGAGGUGAAAGCCCGGGGCUCAACCCCGGAAUUGCCUUUAAGACUGCAUCGCUUGAAUCCAGGAGAGGUGAGUGGAAUUCCGAGUGUAGAGGUGAAAUUCGUAGAUAUUCGGAAGAACACCAGUGGCGAAGGCGGCUCACUGGACUGGUAUUGACGCUGAGGUGCGAAAGCGUGGGGAGCAAACCGG
rnacentral:rRNA from 1 species